rnacentral:lncRNA from 1 species
GUGAACGUGGCCGGGUACUUUAUAGUCUGCUAUAAAAGGUCCAAUUUACAACAAAGCAAAUUUCGAAAAACAAAUAUGACAGACAUGAAAGAGCCACUGUACUACAGGCUCUUGUAUGGUUACCCUUCCCUAUAAAACACAGACACAAAGACAGACAUUAGAGAGCCACUGUACUACAGGCUCUUGCAUAGUUACCCUUCCCUAUCAAAGACAGACAUGAAAGGGCCACUGUACUACAGGCUCUUGUAUGGUUACCCUUCCCUAUAAAAGACAGACAUUAAAGAGCCACUGUACUACAAGCUCUUGCAUAGUUACCCUUCCCUAUAAAACAAUGACACAAAGCAAGCUUAAAAAGUCCCAGACAUGUCAAAAUAUUGAACAAGCCUACGGUCCAUGUAUUUAUAUUUAUAUAUUAAAGGAAAGAAAAAAAUAUUCCAGUCUGCAACAAAAGACAACCGCUGGAUCACAGAGUCCUUCGACACAUACAUAAUGUGUUGGGGUUCAACAUUACAGAUCACUCCUCAAAAAUUGGAAAGUGUCGUGGCAAUACAACAAAAGUAUAGACUGUAAGAACCAAUUAUAAAGAACUUCUUCAAGUAUACAAACUUCAAUAUAAAUAAUAUCACAUUUUUAGCUUUAUAUUUCAUGAUAUCCAAAACAAAUAAUAAAAUUGUUCAGUUUUUGUAUUAAUGACAAACCACGGAAGCUGUUACAUGUAACUUGAGAACAACAAAGUUUGUUAUUUUUUGCCAUUGCAGGAAACAACGACACGAUGUUAACAUUUAAACAAAAUGUCAUAUAUAAUCACAAUCAAAUUGUUUGGUCGAAGCGGACGAGGGGAAGGGUAUAAUUCGGGCAAGAUCCUUCUGGAAACAUGAUAUCACUAACGUGCAAACUUGACUCUUGCAUGUAUUUGAGAUAUAAUGGAAGCUAUUCUUCACGUUCUAACUUUGUCUUCUCUUUCUAUCGUAUAUGUGUUCAGAUUUUUAUAGUAUCAUAGAAUAGGCAGAAGAAGAUAGAAUUGUGACCCAACAAAAAGGUUUCAAUAUUAAUCGAAGUAUGAUCAAGUUGUCAUAAUACAGAUAUACAUGUAUAAGGCAGUCAGUUCGAAAUUAAUAGUCAUUGUACAGGUAUCCGAAUUAUUAUAAAAUGAAAUUUAGAAAGAUUUAAUCACUUAAUUGCAGAAUGUGAAUUAUUCAUAUUUGUCUCUGAACGUAUUUUGUUAUUUCGCCGGGACGGAAUGAAAUAAUAGUUUAUAUGAUACAUUAAUUAAAUAUUACAUGUUACAUUAUUGUUUCAGGUAAGGGUGAAUGUUGGUACCUAUAAAAACUUUGAAACAAGGC